UCUGCCUGGUAGUGGGGGAUAACGUUCGGAAACGGACGCUAAUACCGCAUACGUCCUACGGGAGAAAGCAGGGGACCUUCGGGCCUUGCGCUAUCAGAUGAGCCUAGGUCGGAUUAGCUAGUUGGUGGGGUAAUGGCUCACCAAGGCGACGAUCCGUAACUGGUCUGAGAGGAUGAUCAGUCACACUGGAACUGAGACACGGUCCAGACUCCUACGGGAGGCAGCAGUGGGGAAUAUUGGACAAUGGGCGAAAGCCUGAUCCAGCCAUGCCGCGUGUGUGAAGAAGGUCUUCG
rnacentral:rRNA from 1 species